AGUGAACGCUGGCGGUAGGCCUAACACAUGCAAGUCGAACGGCAGCACAGUAAGAGCUUGCUCUUACGGGUGGCGAGUGGCGGACGGGAGAGGAAUACAUCGGAAUCUACUUUUUCGUGGGGGAUAACGUAGGGAAACUUACGCUAAUACCGCAUACGACCUACGGGUGAAAGCAGGGGAUCUUCGGACCUUGCGCGAUUGAAUGAGCCGAUGUCGGAUUAGCUAGUUGGCGGGGUAAAGGCCCACCAAGGCGAGGAUCCGUAGCUGGUCUGAGAGGAUGAUCAGCCACACUGGAACUGAGACACGGUCCAGACUCCUACGGGAGGCAGCAGUGGGGAAUAUUGGACAAUGGGCGCAAGCCUGAUCCAGCCAUACCGCGUGUGUGAAGAAGGCCUUCGGGUUGUAAAGCCCUUUUGUUGGGAAAGAAAAGCAGCAGGUUAAUACCCCGCUGUUCUGACGGUACCCAAAGAAUAAGCACCGGCUAACUUCGUG
rnacentral:rRNA from 1 species